AGUGAAUAGAUACCCUGGUAGUCCUGGCAGUAAACGGUGCACGUUUGGUGUAGGCGGAUUCGACCCGCCUGUAGCCGGAGCUAAACGCGUUAAGCGUGCCGGCCUGGGUAAGUACGGUCGCAACGAGUUAAAACUCAAAGAAAUUAGACGGGGGCCCGACAACGAAGCGGUGGAGUAUGUGGCGUUAAAUUCGAUUGCAACGCGUAAGAACCUUACCAAGGGUUUGACAUUCGGUAUUGUGUCUCAGGUGAAAGCCUAGAUAGUUUAGGAGUCAAUCCAAAACGCUUUACACAGGUGCUGCAUGGCUGUCGUCAGCUCGUGUCGUGAGAUGUUGGUUAAGU
rnacentral:rRNA from 1 species